AGGGGGUCGGGUGCCACCAGCUUUGGUGACUCUAGAUAGCCUCGGGCCAAUCGCACACCCCCCGUGGCAGCGACGACCCAUUAGAACGUCUGCCCUAUCAACUUUUGAUGGUAGUCGCUGUGCCUACCAUGGUGACCACGGGUGAUGGGGAAUCAGGGUUCAAUUCUGUAGAGGGAGCCUGAGAAAUGGCUACCACAUUCAAGGAAGGCAGCAGGCAUGCAAAUUACCCACUCCCGACCCAAGGAGGUAGUGAUGAAACAUACCAAUACAGGACUCUUUCGAGGUCCUGUAAUUGGAAUGAGUCCACUUUAAAUCCUUUAACGAAGAUCCAUUGGAGGGCAAGUCUAGUGCCAGCAGCCGCGGUAAUUCCAGCUCCCAUAGCAUAUGUUAAAGUUGCUGCAGUUAAAAAGCUCCUAGUUGGAUCUUGGGAGCGGGCGGGCGGUCCGCCAGGACGCGAGCCACCGCCUGUCCCCGCCCCUUGCCUCUUGGCGCCCCCUCGGUGCUCUUAGCUGAGUGUCCCGCAGCCCAAAGCAUUUACUUUGAAAAAAUUAGAGUGUUCAAAGCAGGUCCGAGCCGCCUGGAUACCGCAGCUAGGAAUAAUGGAAUAGGACCGCGGUUCUAUUUUGUUGGUUUUCAGAACUGAGGCCAGGAUUAAGAGGGACGGCCGGGGGCAUUCGUAUUGUGCCGCUAGAGGUGAAAUUCUUGGACUGGCGCAGUUCAGACCAGAGUGAAAGCAUUUGCCAAGAAUGUUUUCAUUAAUCAAGAACAAAAGCCGGAGGUUCGAAGAUGAUCAGAUACCGUCGUAGUUCCGACCAUAAACGAUGCCGACUGGCGAUGUGGCGGCGUUAUUCCCAUGACCCCGCUGGGCAGCUUCCAAGAAACCAGUCUUUGGGUUUUUAGGUUCCGGGGGGAGUAUGGUUGCAAAGCUGAAACUUAAAGGAAUUGGUGGAAGGGCACCACCAGGAGUGGAGCCUGGGCUUAAUUUGACUCAACAUGGGAAAAAUCACCCGGCCCGGACAUGGACCGGAUUGACAGAUUGAUAGCUGUUUCUCUGUUCCAUGGGUGGUGGUGCAUGGCCUUAGUUGGUGGAGUGAUUUGUCUGGUUAAUUCCGAUAACCAAUGAGACUCUGGCAUGCUAACUAGUUACGUGACCCCCGAGCGGUCGGCG
rnacentral:rRNA from 1 species